rnacentral:misc_RNA from 1 species
GCUUCAUUUUCUUUGUACGAAACAUCAAUUUUAAAGCUGCUACUAUUCUUUGGCUCUGAGGAUCUUGGACGAUCCACUAAAUCACUUAUAAAUAACACCAAAACAUCAUCGAAAUAUAAUUUCAAAGCCACCAGGAACAAAAAAAAUAUGCCAACCGCAGCUACUGCUGAAGAGUCUGCGCUAUUAGGCACAAUGCCCUCUGACAGUAUGGAUGACAUUGAAUUGAAGAAUAUCCAACUUCAAUUCCCUAGCUUAAGAUACCUCACGAAGGAUGAUGGUUCAGUAAGAGAAGAAAGAGUUGAAACGGAUCGAGGGAGUAUUUUGGUUGCUGUUCAAGGAAAUCGUUCUAAACCUGCCAUUCUUACGUAUCAUGAUCUAGGCCUUAAUUAUAUUUCAAGUUUUCAAGCGUUCUUCAAUUACAUCGACAUGCGAGUGUUGCUGGAAAAUUUCUGUGUUUAUCAUGUGAAUGCACCAGGUCAGGAAGAAGGAGCACCAACAUUAUCCGAAGAUUAUGUCUAUCCUACUAUGGACGAGCUAGCAGAACAGUUGUUAUUUGUCUUGGGUCACUUUGGAUUGAAAUCGGUUAUUGGUUUUGGCGUCGGAGUUGGAGCAAACAUUUUGGCGAGAUUUGCUCUAGCCCAUCCUAAUAAAGUAAACGCCCUGUGCCUCAUAAAUUGUGUCUCAACACAAGCAGGAUGGAUCGAAUGGGGUUAUCAAAAAUUAAACGUUCGUCAUCUAAGAUCACAGGGAAUGACUCAAGGUGUAUUAGAUUAUUUAAUGUGGCAUCAUUUUGGACGGGGCACUGAAGAGAGAAAUCAUGACCUCGUUCAGGUUUAUACCAAUUAUUUCGAACGUAAAGUAAAUCCAAUCAACCUAGCCCUGUUUAUCGAUAGUUAUGUACGACGCACAGAUUUAAAUAUUACACGAGAAUUAGAUCCCACGCGCAAAAAGGAAGGCUCUACUCUCAGUGUACCUGUAAUUAAUAUUACUGGAGCUUUAAGUCCUCAUGUUGAUGAUACUGUAACGCUCAAUGGACGAUUAGAUCCAACUAACAGUUCAUGGAUGAAGAUUUCGGAUUGUGGUAUGGUUCUUGAAGAACAACCAGGAAAAGUUAGUGAAGCAUUUCGGUUGUUCCUUCAGGGUGAAGGCUAUGUGGUGAAAAGUUCGCGGAAGCCGCUGACGCCUACAGCAUCCGAAGGUAAUUGUAAUUAGGAAUUGAAGCAGCAAGGAACUGACCAAUGCCAAUGGCCAAUUUAGAGGCCAUAUCUAAUUGUUAACGGCUCCACUAUCUCCGUUAAAAAUGGCCGAUUAUCGUCUGGCCUCAUUAGAAGGGUUAAAUCACAUUUGUACUAAAAGAUUUGACUGGCCUACAGCUGCUAUUCACAUCACCGAAAAUCCUAUAUCUGAAGCAGUCGUU